rnacentral:rRNA from 1 species
AGGCAGCAGAUGGGGAAUAUUGCACAAUGGGCGCAAGCCUGAUGCAGCCAUGCCGCGUGUAUGAAGAAGGCNUUCGGGUUGUUAAGUACUUUCAGUUGUGAGGAAGGGGGUGUUGUUAAUAGCNACAUCUCUUGACGUUAGCAACAGAAGAAGCACCGGCUAACUCCGUGCCAGCAGCCGCGGUAAUACGGAGGGUGCGAGCGUUAAUCGGAAUUACUGGGCGUAAAGCGCAUGCAGGUGGUUCAUUAAGUCAGAUGUGAAAGCCCGGGGCUCAACCUCGGAACUGCAUUUGAAACUGGUGAACUAGAGUACUGUAGA